AUUGAACGCUGGCGGCAGGCCUAACACAUGCAAGUCGAACGCGUGGCGGACGGGUGAGUAAUGGAUGGGAAACUGCCUGAUGGAGGGGGAUAACUACUGGAAACGGUAGCUAUUACCGAAUACCUUCAGAUGUGCCCAGAUGGGAUUAGGUAGUUGUUGGGGUAACGGCUCACCAAGGCGACGCUCCCUAGCUGGUCUGAGAGGAUGACCAGCCACACUGGAACUUAGACACGGUCCAGACUCCGACGGGAGGCAGCAUUGGGGAAUAUUGCACAAUGGGCGCAAGCCUGAUGCAGCCAUGCCGCGUGUAGGAAGAGGGCCUUCGGGUUUUAAAGUACUUUCAGCGUGGAGGCGUUACCCGCAGAAGAAGCACCGGCUAACUCCGUGCCAGCAGCCGCGGUAAUUC
rnacentral:rRNA from 1 species